AAUUAAGUAAGCUAUAUUUAAGCUAUUAGGUUCAUACCCUAAAUAAAGAUUAAAUUAAAUCUCUUAAUUA
rnacentral:tRNA from 1 species